GGGGACGUGGCGUAAUGGCAGCCGCGCAUGCCUUAGGAGCAUGUACCGCAAGGUGUGAGAGUUCGAGUCUCUCCGUCCCCACCA
rnacentral:tRNA from 1 species